UGGCUACAUCACGUUGAAAUACCGGUUCCCGUAAGAUUACCGAAGUUAAGCAAACUAGAGACUGGUCCCUACCUAGAUGGGUGAUAGUUUGGGAAUACCAGGUGAUGUAAG